rfam:Syntrophomonas wolfei subsp. wolfei str. Goettingen, complete genome.
GGUCAAGAUAAAAAGAGCGUAUGGUGGAUGCCUAGGCGCCAGGAGGCGAAGAAGGACGCGGCAAGCGGCGAAACGCCACGGGGAGCUGCAAGCGAGCAUAGAUCCGUGGAUAUCCGAAUGGGGAAACCCGGCAGAGGCGAACCUCUGUCACCCUUACCUGAACACAUAGGGUAAGAGGAGCGAGACCCGGUGAACUGAAACAUCUUAGUAACCGGAGGAAGAGAAAUCAAGCGAGAUUUCCUAAGUAGCGGCGAGCGAAAGGGAAAGAGCCCAAACCAUGCAGGUGUAAAGGCUGCAGCCGUUGCCUGUAUGGGGUUGAGGGGUCUGCAGGACCAUACUGCAGUAUGGUCACAGAGUAAGAAAAUAUAUGUUUAGCUGAAUAAGCUGGAAAGCUCAGCCACAGAAGGUGAAAGCCCCGUAAGCGAAAAGCAUAUAUCUCUGAGCAGAGACCCCGAGUACCGCCGGACACGUGGAACCCGGUGGGAAGCAGGGAGGACCACCUUCCAAGGCUAAAUACUACCUGGCGACCGAUAGAGAAGAGUACCGUGAGGGAAAGGUGAAAAGCACCCCGGGAGGGGAGUGAAAAGAACCUGAAACCGUAUGCUUACAAACAGUAGGAGCACUAUUGGGAAGUGAGAAGUGGGAAGUUAGAAGUGAGAAAAGGGAAGAAAUCGGCACAGCCGAUUUCAUCACAAAAUCCCACCUCCCGCCUCUCACCUCUCACUUCCCAAGUGUGACUGCGUACCUUUUGUAGAAUGGGCCAGCGAGUUACUGUAUUAAGCAAGGUUAAGUUCAAGAAGGAUGGAGCCGCAGCGAAAGCGAGUCUUAAUAGGGCUAUAUAGUUUAAUGCAGUAGACCCGAAACCGGGUGAUCUAUCCAUGGCCAGGGUGAAGCGAUGGUAACACAUCGUGGAGGCCCGAACCAGAGUGCGUUGAAAAGUACGUGGAUGAGUUGUGGAUAGGGGUGAAAUGCCAAUCGAACCCGGAGAUAGCUGGUUCUCCCCGAAAUAGCUUUAGGGCUAGCGUCAGGAAAAGAGCCUUGAGGGGGUAGAGCACUGGUUAGGCUAGGGGCCUUACACGGUUACCGAACCUUCCCAAACUCCGAAUACCACAAGGUGCUACCUGGCAGUCAGACUGUGGGUGAAAAGGUCCAUAGUCGAGAGGGAAACAGCCCAGACCAACAGCUAAGGUCCCCAAAUCUAUGCUAAGUGGGAAAGGAUGUAGAGCUGCACAGACAGCCAGGAUGUUGGCUUAGAAGCAGCCACCAUUGAAAGAGUGCGUAAUAGCUCACUGGUCAAGUGGCUCUGCGCCGAAAAUGUAACGGGGCUAAGCAUAGUACCGAAGCUUUGGGAUUGAGAAGUGAGAAGUGGGAAGCUAGAAGUGAGAAAGCUUACUGAGAGGUGAGUCAAGAAAUGGGAGAAGAGAAGAUAAAGAGCUUCGAAGAUCUCAUAGUCUAUCAAAAGGCUUAUCAAUUAGUAUUGAAAGCUCAUGUACUAACCAACACUUUUCCGGAGAAUGAGAAAAGGGAACUUGGUUAUCAGAUAAGAAGAGCCGCAGUAUCCAUACCAGCUAAUAUAGCCGAAGGCUAUGGUCGGAAGAACUCCGCCAAGGAAUUCAAGCAUUUUUUAAGAAAUGCAUUAGGAUCCAGUAACGAAAUGAUAGUUCUUCUAAAGCUGAGCAAAGAUUUAGGAUACAUGCAAGAUGGAAAAAUCAUAGAAGAUUAUGAUGUACUAGGAAAACAACUCUUCAGACUGAUAGAAAAGUGGGAAUAAACUCCCACCUCCAACCUCCCACCUCUCACUUCUCAAUCGGUAGGGGAGCAUUCCUAAUGGGCAGAAGCUGUACCGAAAGGAGCAGUGGACUGUUAGGAAGAGAGAAUGCUGGCAUGAGUAAGCGAGAAGGCAGGUGAGAAUCCUGCCCGCCGUAAACCUGAGGUUUCCUGGGGAAGGCUCGUCCGCCCAGGGUAAGCCGGGACCUAAGCCGAGGCCGCAAGGCGUAGGCGAUGGACAACUGGUUGAGAAUCCAGUGCCACCUGAAGCCGCUAUAAGCGAUGGGGUGACGCAGGAGGAUAGGUGAAGCGCACGGAUGGAAGAGUGCGUCCAAGCACGUAGGGUAAUGGGCAGGCAAAUCCGCCCAUUGAAAAGCCUGAGGUGUGAUGGGGAGUGAAAUAUAGUAGCGAAGUCACUGAGUCCAAACUGCCAAGAAAAGCCUCUAGCAAGGUAACAGGUGCCCGUACCGAAAACCGACACAGGUAGGUGAGGAGAGAAUCCUAAGGCGCGCGAGAGAACCCUCGUUAAGGAACUCGGCAAAAUGACCCCGUAACUUAGGGAGAAGGGGUGCUCUAUUAGCGUGAGUAUGUUUAACAUAUAUGAGCGUGAGAGAGCCGCAGUGAUCAGGCCCAGGCGACUGUUUAACAAAAACACAGGUCUCUGCCAAAUCGAAAGAUGAAGUAUAGAGGCUGACGCCUGCCCGGUGCCGGAAGGUUAAGAGGAAGUGUUAGC